AGUGUAGGUGGUAUCACAAGUCAGAAGUGAAAGCCCGGGGCUCAACCCCGGGACUGCUUUUGAAACUGUGGAACUGGAGUGCAGGAGAGGUAAGUGGAAUUCCUAGUGUAGCGGUGAAAUGCGUAGAUAUUAGGAGGAACACCAGUGGCGAAGGCGGCUUACUGGACUGUAACUGACACUGAGGCGCGAAAGCAUGGGGAGCAAACA
rnacentral:rRNA from 1 species